GGGACAACGCUGUCCUCGAAACGUCGGAGGUAAAUCUUAAAACUUAAAUACGCGAAUAAGUCCCGUUGUGCAGUUUGAUGUUUAAUGAUCGUGAAAGUUUAAAUCAGUGUAUUUCAGUUUUUUUUAUAAUCCAUAUUUUGUGUUAGUCUACUUAUAUUUAAGUAAACUUAAAAAAUCAUCAUAAUCAUCAUCAUUCUAGCCUUCAGUCGCCCACUGCCGAGCAUAGGCCUCUCUUCGUGCACGCCAUUUAUCCCGGUCCUGGAUGAGACUUAAAAAAUACAUGUUAGUAAAUAUGUGUGAAUAGAUAAUUAAAUUAGAAUGCUACGUUUCCCUACCCGUUACAAUACUGGGUUAUAACCGCGAAAAUCGAAGUUCGCAAAUUGCGGGGAUCUUUCUCUUUUACUCCAAUGACGGUGUAAUUAGAGUGACAAAGAAAAAUCCCCGCAAUUUGCCAAUUUCGGUUUUCGCGGUAGCCCCUCUGACCCAAUAUUUUAAUAUUGGACAGUCGAGGCGUCCAGCCACCAUCCUCAGGCUGUCGUUAUUAGUGUCUCUCACUCGUCGCAGCAAAGAGGCUACCCUCUUGCGUCUGAUGCCAUGGAAGCAAUAGCAUCGGUUGUAGUGUCGUGUGGAAAUCCGGCAUCAGAAAUAGCACCACCCCAUCUCGUCCCGUGGGUGUCGUAUAAGGCGACUAAGGGAAAACUGGCGACAGAUAGGUAUGUAUGUGUGUAUGUAUGUAUGUAAGUAUGUAUGUAUGUAUGUAUGUAUGUAUGUAUGUAUAUAUCAGAGCGAAAAAGAGGUGUGACCAAUGUUAUUGGUUGAUUACCUCUGUCUCCUAUCAUCUCUGCCUCAGUGGAACGGCAGCCUAAGCACCAUAAGGGCCAGGUAUAUAAGAACUGUAAAUAGUGUAUGUAAAUAAGAAGUUAGAUUAAACUUUAAUGUACGAAAUGUGGUAAAUGCACGCAACGCUUUUAGUGUGUUUAUUUCGAUUAAUAUACAAUAAAUACAUUUAAAUAAU